GCCUCGGUGGCCUAGCCCGGGAAUUAUUGAUCAUUACGAUCAAAAAACUCGACGGCACUGGACUGAAGAUCCAGGCAUCGUUGGUUCAAAUCCGACCCGAGGCA
rnacentral:tRNA from 1 species